rnacentral:rRNA from 1 species
UACGGAGGAUCCAAGCGUUAUCCGGAAUCAUUGGGUUUAAAGGGUCCGUAGGCGGGCCAUUAAGUCAGGGGUGAAAGUCUGCAGCUCAACUGUAGAAUUGCCCUUGAUACUGGUGGUCUUGAGUUAUAGUGAAGUAACUAGAAUAUGUAGUGUAGCGGUGAAAUGCAUAGAUAUUACAUAGAAUACCGAUUGCGAAGGCA